rnacentral:rRNA from 1 species
AAUGGGUCAGCGACUUAUAUUCUGUAGCAAGGUUAACCGAAUAGGGGAGCCGAAGGGAAACCGAGUCUUAACUGGGCGUUAAGUUGCAGGGUAUAGACCCGAAACCCGGUGAUCUAGCCAUGGGCAGGUUGAAGGUUGGGUAACACUAACUGGAGGACCGAACCGACUAAUGUUGAAAAAUUAGCGGAUGACUUGUGGCUGGGGGUGAAAGGCCAAUCAAACCGGGAGAUAGCUGGUUCUCCCCGAAAGCUAUUUAGGUAGCGCCUCGUGAAUUCAUCUCCGGGGGUAGAGCACUGUUUCGGCAAGGGGGUCAUCCCGACUUACCAACCCGAUGCAAACUGCGAAUACCGGAGAAUGUUAUCACGGGAGACACACGGCGGGUGCUAACGUCCGUCGUGAAGAGGGAAACAACCCAGACCGCCAGCUAAGGUCCCAAAGUCAUGGUUAAGUGGGAAACGAUGUGGGAAGGCCCAGACAGCCAGGAUGUUGGCUUAGAAGCAGCCAUCAUUUAAAGAAAGCGUAAUAGCUCACUGGUCGAGUCGGCCUGCGCGGAAGAUGUAACGGGGCUAAACCAUGCACCGAAGCUGCGGCAGCGACACUAUGUGUUGUUGGGUAGGGGAGCGUUCUGUAAGCCUGUGAAGGUGUACUGUGAGGUAUGCUGGAGGUAUCAGAAGUGCGAAUGCUGACAUAAGUAACGAUAAAGCGGGUGAAAAGCCCGCUCGCCGGAAGACCAAGGGUUCCUGUCCAACGUUAAUCGGGGCAGGGUGAGUCGACCCCUAAGGCGAGGCCGAAAGGCGUAGUCGAUGGGAAACAGGUUAAUAUUCCUGUACUUGGUGUUACUGCGAAGGGGGGACGGAGAAGGCUAUGUUGGCCGGGCGACGGUUGUCCCGGUUUAAGCGUGUAGGCUGAUUUUCCAGGCAAAUCCGGAAAAUCAAGGCUGAGGCGUGAUGACGAGGCACUACGGUGCUGAAGCAACAAAUGCCCUGCUUCCAGGAAAAGCCUCUAAGCAUCAGGUAACAUCAAAUCGUACCCCAAACCGACACAGGUGGUCAGGUAGAGAAUACCAAGGCGCUUGAGAGAACUCGGGUGAAGGAACUAGGCAAAAUGGUGCCGUAACUUCGGGAGAAGGCACGCUGAUAUGUAGGUGAAGCGACUUGCUCGUGGAGCUGAAAUCAGUCGAAGAUACCAGCUGGCUGCAACUGUUUAUUAAAAACACAGCACUGUGCAAACACGAAAGUGGACGUAUACGGUGUGACGCCUGCCCGGUGCCGGAAGGUUAAUUGAUGGGGUUAGCGGUAACGCGAAGCUCUUGAUCGAAGCCCCGGUAAACGGCGGCCGUAACUAUAACGGUCCUAAGGUAGCGAAAUUCCUUGUCGGGUAAGUUCCGACCUGCACGAAUGGCGUAAUGAUGGCCAGGCUGUCUCCACCCGAGACUCAGUGAAAUUGAACUCGCUGUGAAGAUGCAGUGUACCCGCGGCAAGACGGAAAGACCCCGUGAACCUUUACUAUAGCUUGACACUGAACAUUGAGCCUUGAUGUGUAGGAUAGGUGGGAGGCUUUGAAGUGUGGACGCCAGUCUGCAUGGAGCCGACCUUGAAAUACCACCCUUUAAUGUUUGAUGUUCUAACGUUGGCCCGUUAUCCGGGUUGCGGACAGUGUCUGGUGGGUAGUUUGACUGGGGCGGUCUCCUCCUAAAGAGUAACGGAGGAGCACGAAGGUUGGCUAAUCCUGGUCGGACAUCAGGAGGUUAGUGCAAUGGCAUAAGCCAGCUUGACUGCGAGCGUGACGGCGCGAGCAGGUGCGAAAGCAGGUCAUAGUGAUCCGGUGGUUCUGAAUGGAAGGGCCAUCGCUCAACGGAUAAAAGGUACUCCGGGGAUAACAGGCUGAUACCGCCCAAGAGUUCAUAUCGACGGCGGUGUUUGGCACCUCGAUGUCGGCUCAUCACAUCCUGGGGCUGAAGUAGGUCCCAAGGGUAUGGCUGUUCGCCAUUUAAAGUGGUACGCGAGCUGGGUUUAGAACGUCGUGAGACAGUUCGGUCCCUAUCUGCCGUGGGCGCUGGAGAACUGAGGGGGGCUGCUCCUAGUACGAGAGGACCGGAGUGGACGCAUCACUGGUGUUCGGGUUGUCAUGCCAAUGGCACUGCCCGGUAGCUAAAUGCGGAAGAGAUAAGUGCUGAAAGCAUCUAAGCACGAAACUUGCCCCG